AGUGAACGCUGGCGGUAGGCCUAACACAUGCAAGUCGAACGGCAGCACAGUAAGAGCUUGCUCUUACGGGUGGCGAGUGGCGGACGGGUGAGGCAUACAUCGGAAUCUACUUUUUCGUGGGGGAUAACGUAGGGAAACUUACGCUAAUACCGCAUACGACCUACGGGUGAAAGCAGGGGAUCUUCGGACCUUGCGCGAUUGAAUGAGCCGAUGUCGGAUUAGCUAGUUGGCGGGGUAAAGGCCCACCAAGGCGACGCUCCGUAGCUGGUCUGAGAGGAUGAUCAGCCACACUGGAACUGAGACACGGGCCAGACUCCUACGGGAGGCAGCAGUGGGGAAUAUUGGACAAUGGGCGCAAGCCUGAUCCAGCCAUACCGCGUGGGUGAAGAAGGCCUUCGGGUUGUAAAGCCCUUUUGUUGGGAAAGAAAAGCAGCAGGUUAAUACCCCGCUGUUCUGACGGUACCCAAAGAAUAAGCACCGGCUAACUUCGUG
rnacentral:rRNA from 1 species